AGAGAGGCUAGCACUGGAGUAAUAUGAUACAAUUUUGGGGUUAUAGUCAAGAUUCUAGCAGCCAUAUUUAGCACUUACUGAACUGUAUUUAGUAAUGUAUCCAGGUAGCCAGAGAGUAGAGCACCCAGUUGUCUAAUCUAGAAGUGACAAAAGCAUUAGUUUUUCUGCACCAUUUUUGGACAAUGAGUUUCAGAUUGUUGCUAUGUUACGAAGAUGGAAAAGAACGCUCUUGAAAUUUGCUUGAUAUGUUCGCCAAAAGAGAGUCCAGAGUAAGGCCGAGAUCCUUCACAUAUUAUUUGAGACUACUGUACAACCAUCAACAUUAACUGUCAGAUGAAUGCACAGCACUGUGAAGAUUUUUAGGUGAGCAGUGCCCAAUUUGUCAAAGGCAGGGGCGCAACAUAUUUUGUUUGUCCAUUCCCAGCUCUCCUCUCCAGGGUGCUGUUGGAGAGAUCCCUCUCUACAGCGCUCCACCAACGUUCUGACAAAAAAAAUGAUAAAUCAUGUAAAUCAUGUAGCAGCUAUAGGAUAUGGUAGAAAGAGG